CAUACUGCAGUCGAGCGAAUCGAUGGGAGCUUGCUCCCUGAGAUUAGCGGCGGACGGGUGAGUAACACGUGGGCAACCUGCCUAUAAGACUGGGAUAACUUCGGGAAACCGGAGCUAAUACCGGAUACGUUCUUUUCUCGCAUGAGAGAAGAUGGAAAGACGGUUUACGCUGUCACUUAUAGAUGGGCCCGCGGCGCAUUAGCUAGUUGGUGAGGUAAUGGCUCACCAAGGCGACGAUGCGUAGCCGACCUGAGAGGGUGAUCGGCCACACUGGGACUGAGACACGGCCCAGACUCCUACGGGAGGCAGCAGUAGGGAAUCUUCCGCAAUGGACGAAAGUCUGACGGAGCAACGCCGCGUGAACGAAGAAGGCCUUCGGGUCGUAAAGUUCUGUUGUUAGGGAAGAACAAGUACCAGAGUAACUGCUGGUACCUUGACGGUACCUAACCAGAAAGCCACGGCUAACUACGUGCCAGCAGCCGCGGUAAUACGUAGGUGGCAAGCGUUGUCCGGAAUUAUUGGGCGUAAAGCGCGCGCAGGUGGUUCCUUAAGUCUGAUGUGAAAGCCCACGGCUCAACCGUGGAGGGUCAUUGGAAACUGGGGAACUUGAGUGCAGAAGAGGAAAGUGGAAUUCCAAGUGUAGCGGUGAAAUGCGUAGAGAUUUGGAGGAACACCAGUGGCGAAGGCGACUUUCUGGUCUGUAACUGACACUGAGGCGCGAAAGCGUGGGGAGCAAACAGGAUUAGAUACCCUGGUAGUCCACGCCGUAAACGAUGAGUGCUAAGUGUUAGAGGGUUUCCGCCCUUUAUGCUGCAGCUAACGCAUUAAGCACUCCGCCUGGGGAGUACGGCCGCAAGGUGAAACUCAAAGGAAUUGAGGGGCCCGCACAAGCGGGGAGCAUGUGGUUUAAUUCGAAGCAACGCGAAAACCUACAGUCUUGACUCCUCUGACAACCCUAAGAUAGGGCUUUCCCCUUGGGGGACGAGUGAC
rnacentral:rRNA from 1 species